rnacentral:pre_miRNA from 1 species
GAGUCUUCUAGAGUUCCCCUUUAACACUUCAUUGGGAGAGAAAAUUUCCUACUGAAGUGUUUGGGGGAACUCCUGAUGUCUC